CCUACGGGAGGCAGCAGUGAGGAAUAUUGGUCAAUGGGCGAGAGCCUGAACCAGCCAAGUCGCGUGAAGGAUGACGGCCCUACGGGUUGUAAACUUCUUUUGUCAGGGAGCAAUUGAGUCCACGUGUGGUCUUAGCGAGAGUACCUGAAGAAAAAGCAUCGGCUAACUCCGUGCCAGCAGCCGCGGUAAUACGGAGGAUGCGAGCGUUAUCCGGAUUUAUUGGGUUUAAAGGGAGCGUAGACGGUGAGACAAGUCUGAAGUGAAAGCCCGGGGCUCAACCCCGGGACUGCUUUGGAAACUGCCUGACUGGAGUGCUGGAGAGGCAAGCGGAAUUCCUAGUGUAGCGGUGAAAUGCGUAGAUAUUAGGAAGAACACCAGUGGCGAAGGCGGCUUGCUGGACAGUAACUGAUGUUGAGGCUCGAAAGCGUGGGGAGCAAACAGGAUUAGAUACCCGAGUAGUC
rnacentral:rRNA from 1 species